GGAUUUGGUGCUACAACCCAGGUAGUAUUUGUCCCUACCUCAGGAUCCUGUUUACUCCUACGAGGUAAUGAGACCCCUUCAGAGCUCUUGUGCUUCAUUCCUGUGUGAUGAUCCAGGGACCCAAAAUGUUUUAGACACUCUUGCAAAGAAAAGACAGACAUCCACCCAAAAUGUGGUUCAGAUUGGAGACUGAUGUUGCUACAGGAACACCAAGAAGCAGCCAGAGGAAGACUGAAGACCAUGUGGGAUGUUGGGACCUCAAAAUUGGAAGGGCUUCAGUGCCUGAAUCAUCACCUGGAAAAAGCUGCUUCCUGACUAUGAACACAAACCCUCACUUUUACAGAAGCAAAAACAUUCAUUUUGCUCAGCCACUAGACUUAGGUUUUGUUGUUGUUGUUUUGAUAUAGAAAACAUAGUUAACUAAACUGUAGACCCCCCCUCCCCUUUUAGACAGCAACUGGUCAACUAUAAUAGCAAUAAUGUUCAUACUAUUGGAUUAUGUUAUAAAGUCAUGACUUUCAGUGAGCCUGGGUGGCUCAGUUGGUUGAGCAUCUGACUUUUGGUUUCAGCUCAGGUCAAGAUCUCAUGGGU